UGAGGGGCUGUAAUAUUACAACUAAAUAAAUUUUGAGACCGUUGCCAAAAUUUAUCUACCCAAUUUUACUUAUUAUAUUUGAAAACGUGCUGGUUAAAGCUUAUUUCAAGUUGAUCAAUAUUCACGGAACUGAGUUGAGAACAAACUUCUAGAGGCAAAAAUGGAACAAAGCUCAUCAAAUCCUGCUCCUCCUCCUCCCCCUCCUCGUGCUGCUACUCCUCAUGUGUUUAUCUUUCCUUGCCCAGCCCAGGGCCAUGUGAAUUCUAUGCUCAAGCUAGCCGAGCUUCUAAGCCUUGCUGGUCUUAGAGUUUCCUUCCUGAACACAGAACAUAUUCAUGAACUUCUGACCCAUUCCACAGAUGUUCAAGCCCGUUUUACCAAGUAUCCAGGAUUCCAAUUCAUGACCAUACCUGACUGUCUGCCUGUAGAUUACCCACGAACGGGUAACAUAAUGGAAGUGAUUACGUCAUUGGAAGUGAACAGUAAGCCAAUUUUCAAACGACUUCUGAUUGAAACUAGGCCACCAGUAAACUUUAUCAUAGGAGAUGGGAUCCUGGGAUCUCCUCUUGAUGUUGCCGCUGAGCUAGGAAUUCCAAUCUUUUGGUUCCGUACAAUUAGUGCUUGUUGUUUCUGGAGUUAUUUUUGCAUUCCUGAUAUGAUUGAAAGCUGCGAACUUCCCAUCAAAGGAGAAGAAGACAUGGACAGACUCAUAACAAAAGUGCCAGGCAUGG
rnacentral:misc_RNA from 1 species